ACAACUUCUGACCACAACCACACAACAGCUGACCACAUCUACUGACUACAAUUGAGCCCUUGUUACGAACAACCGUAUAUGUGACAUUUCUUAAAAUUAACUUCAAACAUUAUUAUUUGAUAUGCUGAAAAAAAACGUAUGUCCACAACUAUGAAUGGAUGGACAAGCGCUUUCGUUUUCUGCUGCCGAUGAAAAUCUCAGAAAUGUCAGAAAUAAAAUAAAAACCAAACUAAAGGAAUGGAAGAACAGACAACGAAAGACAUUGAGGGCUGCGGGGAAACCCUGUAUUAAUCGUAAGGGGCAAGAAAAAACUGAGAAAAUGUAUCCAAAAGAGCUGAUGAUCCUUGGAACAUACUGUACACACCAGGCAGAGCCACAGCCAGUAUGAGGGAUGGAAGUCCUGCUCAAACCACUACCCCAGGGCCUACGAGUCUCCUCUUCCAGUAAAGAAAGAAAAAUGCAGAGAUCUGAUGACCAUGCUGGACUACCUGCCAGCUGCUGCACAUAUUUUUUACGAGACACUAGAAUGUGAAGUUUCCCCGGAGGAAUAGGCAAGCCCAGGUUGUAGAAUCUUGUGUGCAUGACUUUCUACAGUAACAGUGUGUUUAGCCAACCUUCAUGUAACAUUCUAUCUCUAUAGCAGAGGUCCACAUUCUUUCCAAAUAUGUUGCAUUAAUUUAAUAACAUUGGUUUAGGCAAACUUGCCUUUCAAGCCCUCAACUUGUUGUUAUUUGGCAAGACUUAGUCUUGUUCAAUGUAUGAGUUUUGUUAUCUCUUACUCUGAAUUACGUGGUCAUAUGGGUGAAAAGUGUAUUUUGUUAUAUGCAUGUCUGCCCUGUCACACUCCUUACUGUUUGUUUUGAGCUGGACUCAUUGAUUGCAGAAGUGGGAACACCUGUGGGUAUAUAUAUAUAUAUAUAUUUUAUAUUAUUUGUAUUGCCUGGCAGGUUGGCAUUCCUUUUAUAAGAGGACAGCCAGCGUGAGCCUCUCCCUGCCACCUCUUGCAUCCAAGAGUGAGUAGCCAGAUGAACCACAGCCCUUGCACCCGACUGUAGUCUUCACCCCGAGCAUCUAGCCACUGACUCAGCGACCCAGCAUUGUCAGACGCAGGUGAGAAGCAGAUGUGAUUGAAUACCACAUACCUUUCACAAGGAGCAACACCAGACGAACUGGGAGCUUGUAUUGUAUUGUAUUGUAAUAUAUUGGAUAUGUUUUAUAUUAUUUGUAUUUGGAAUAAAUUGUUUUUACUGUA